GACGAACGCUGGCGGCGUGCUUAACACAUGCAAGUCGAACGGAAAGGCCCUGCUUUUGUGGGGUGCUCGAGUGGCGAACGGGUGAGUAACACGUGAGUAACCUGCCCUUGACUUUGGGAUAACUUCAGGAAACUGGGGCUAAUACCGGAUAGGAGCUCCUGCUGCAUGGUGGGGGUUGGAAAGUUUCGGCGGUUGGGGAUGGACUCGCGGCUUAUCAGCUUGUUGGUGGGGUAGUGGCUUACCAAGGCUUUGACGGGUAGCCGGCCUGGGAGGGUGACCGGCCACAUUGGGACUGCGAUACGGCCCAGACUCCUACGGGAGGCAGCAGUGGGGAAUAUUGCACAAUGGGCGGAAGCCUGAUGCAGCAACGCCGCGUGCGGGAUGACGGCCUUCUGGUUGUAAACCGCUUUCGCCUGUGACGAAGCGUGAGUGACGGUAAUGGGUAAAGAAGCACCGGCUAACUACGUG
rnacentral:rRNA from 1 species